CCUACGGGGGCAGCAGUGAGGAAUAUUGGUCAAUGGCCGGGAGGCUGAACCAGCCAAGUCGCGUGAGGGAAGACGGCUCUACGGGUUGUAACCCUCUUUUGUCGGGGAGCAAGGUGCCGGUCGGGACCUGCUGAGAGAGUACCUGAAGCAAAAGCAUCGGCCAACUCGGUGCCAGCAGCCGCGGUAAUACGGGGGAUGCGAGCGUUAUCCGGAUUUAUUGGGUUUAACGGGUGCGCAGGGGGAAGCACAAGUCAGCGGUAAAAUCGCGGGGUUCAACCCCGCUCCGCCGUUGAAACUGUGUCCCUUGAGUGCGCGAAGGGUAGGCGGAAUGCGUGGUGUAGCGGUGAAAUGCGUAGAUAUCACGCAGAACACCGAUCGCGAAGGCAGCCUACCGGCGCGCAACUGACGCUCAUGCACGAAAGCGUGGGUAUCGAACAGGAUUAGAUACCCCUGUAGUC
rnacentral:rRNA from 1 species